GACGAACCGUACGAACGUUAUUCGGAAUCACUGGGCUUAAAGGGUGCGUAGGCUGCUCAGAAAGUUGGGUGUGAAAUCCCUCGGCUCAACCGAGGAACUGCGCCCAAAACUACUGUGCUCGAGGGAGACAGAGGUGAGCGGAACUUCGGGUGGAGCGGUGAAAUGCGUAGAUAUCGGGAGGAACACCUGUGGCGAAAGCGGCUCACUGGACCACAACUGACGCUGAGGCGCGAAAGCGAGGGGAGCAAACAGG
rnacentral:rRNA from 1 species